CUGAAAGUUGAAAGUUGUAUUCCCCGUGUUUCCUACACAAUAUAUUUGUUUCUCGCUGAUCCUUAGUUCAAUAACAAGUAAGUUCUUAUCUUACGUGCAUGGAACAUGAAUAAAUACCUGAGAAUAAUACGAGGUCGGUCAGAAAUGAAUAAACAGCAAGGUAUAACAUAAUAGCCUAAUUAAUACGAAACUCUGCAUGCGUCCGUUUCUCAAAUUACUUUUCUGACCGCAACAUGAGCACGAGCUAGUAUAUAAGCAUAACCGUACCAUAAGCACAAGAAUAUCAAAAUAUUCCGUUCCUACAAUCACUCUUGAUAACAUCGUGGUGAAAGCAAUAAUACUGUCUUGGCCAACAUAAGGACAAUUACAGUAUGUUCGAGCAUAUGCUUAUAGCGCUUAUAUGUCGCAGUAA